rnacentral:rRNA from 1 species
GGUGAACGCUGGCGGCGUGCCUAAUACAUGCAAGUCGUACGGAAAGGCCCUUCGGGGUACUCGAGUGGCGGACGGCUGAGUAACGCGUGGGAACGUGCCCCAAAGUGAGGGAUAACGCACCGAAAGGUGUGCUAAUACCGCAUAUGGUCUUCGGAUUAAAGCUUCGGCGCUUUGGGAGCGGCCCGCGUACGAUUAGAUAGUUGGUGAGGUAAUGGCUCACCAAGUCGACGAUCGUUAGCUGGUCUGAGAGGAUGAUGAGCCAGACUGGGACUGAGACACGGCCCAGAAUCCUACGGGAGGCAGCAGUAAGGAAUCUUCCACAAUGGGGGCAACCCUGAUGGAGCAACGCCGCGUGCAGGAUGAAGGUUUUCGGAUCGUAAACUGCUUUUAUAAGUGAAGAAUAUGACGGUAACUUAUGAAUAAGGAUCGGCUAACUACGUGCCAGCCGCCGCAGUAA